rnacentral:rRNA from 1 species
AUUGAACGCUGGCGGCAGGCCUAACACAUGCAAGUCGAACGGUAACAGGAAGAAGCUUGCUUCUUUGCUGACGAGUGGCGGACGGGUGAGUAAUGUCUGGGAAACUGCCUGAUGGAGGGGGAUAACUACUGGAAACGGUAGCUAAUACCGCAUAACGUCGCAAGACCAAAAGAGGGGGACCUUCGGGCCUCUUGCCAUCGGAUGUGCCCAGAUGGGAUUAGCUAGUAGGUGGGGUAACGGCUCACCUAGGCGACGAUCCCUAGCUGGUCUGAGAGGAUGACCAGCCACACUGGAACUGAGACACGGUCCAGACUCCUACGGGAGGCAGCAGUGGGGAAUAUUGCACAAUGGGCGCAAGCCUGAUGCAGCCAUGCCGCGUGUAUGAAGAAGGCC